UCAUCAUUCCAAUGCAUAUAUAUGAAUGAAUCCCAAUAUUUUAAAUCCGGGUUUGUCCCCAUUAACAGGGGUGGCUAGAUCUACCUCACUCUUACAGCAACUGCUCUCACACCAUCUCGCCCGGUUUUAGACAUCCUCCUCCUCAAUCU